AGUGAAAUUGCUAGAUAAUAAGGUAACACAGUCUGUAUUUAACUUUUUGAGGAACUAUAAGAUUGUUCUCCAAAGUGGCUGCACCAUUUUCCACUUCUGCCUGCAGA
rnacentral:pre_miRNA from 1 species